ACGCUGGCGGCGUGCCUAAUACAUGCAAGUCGAACGCUGGAGAUCUAGCUUGCUAGAUCGAAGGAGUGGCGAACGGGUGAGUAAUACAUAAGCAACCUACCCACGAAGACUGGGAUAAUCUCUGGAAACGGGGACUAAUACCGGAUAGGUAAUCGGAAGGCAUCUUCUGGUUAUUAAAGGUUAAAAACACUGGUGGAUGGGCUUAUGGCGCAUUAGUUAGUUGGUGAGGUAACGGCCCACCAAGACGAUGAUGCGUAGCCGGCCUGAGAGGGUGAACGGCCACAUUGGGACUGAGACACGGCCCAGACUCCUACGGGAGGCAGCAGUAGGGAAUUUUCGGCAAUGGGGGAAACCCUGGCCGAGCAACGCCGCGUGAGUGAUGACGGCCUUCGGGUUGUAAAGCUCUGUUGUAAGGGAAGAACGGUAGAUAGAGAAUAUCUAAGUGACGGUACCUUACCAGAAAGCCACGGCUAACUACGUGCCAGCAGCCGCGGUAAUACGUAGGUGGCGAGCGUUAUCCGGAAUUAUUGGGCGUAAAGGGUGCGUAGGCGGCCUGUUAAGUAAGUGGUUAAAUUGUUGGGCUCAACCCAAUCCAGCCACUUAAACUGGCAGGCUAGAGUAUUGGAGAGGCAAGUGGAAUUCCAUGUGUAGCGGUAAAAUGCGUAGAUAUAUGGAGGAACACCAGUGGCGAAGGCGGCUUGCUAGCCAAAGACUGACGCUCAUGCACGAAAGCGUGGGGAGCAAAUAGGAUUAGAUACCCUAGUAGUCCACGCCGUAAACGAUGAAUACUAAGUAUUGGGGAAACUCAGUGCUGCACUAACGCAAUAAGUAUUCCGCCUGUGGAGUAUGCACGCAAGUGUGAAACAUAAAGGAAUUGACGGGGGCCCGCACAAGCGGUGGAGUAUG
rnacentral:rRNA from 1 species